UACGUAGGGUGCAAGCGUUGUCCGGAAUUAUUGGGCGUAAAGAGCUCGUAGGCGGUCUGUCGCGUCUGCUGUGAAAACUCAGGGCUUAACCCUGAGCUUGCAGUGGGUACGGGCAGACUAGAGUGCGGUAGGGGAGACUGGAAUUCCUGGUGUAGCGGUGAAAUGCGCAGAUAUCAGGAGGGAACACCGGUGGCGAAGGCGGGUCUCUGGGCCGUAACUGACGCUGGAGGA
rnacentral:rRNA from 1 species